rnacentral:rRNA from 1 species
AACGAACGCUGGCGGCAGGCCUAACACAUGCAAGUCGAGCGCCCAGCAAUGGGAGCGGCAGACGGGUGAGUAACGCGUGGGAACCUUCCCAGUGGUACGGAAUAGCUCAGGGAAACUUGAGGUAAUACCGUAUACGCCCGAAAGGGGAAAGAUUUAUCGCCAUUGGAUGGGCCCGCGUAGGAUUAGCUAGUUGGUGAGGUAACGGCUCACCAAGGCGACGAUCCUUAGCUGGUCUGAGAGGAUGAUCAGCCACACUGGGACUGAGACACGGCCCAGACUCCUACGGGAGGCAGCAGUGGGGAAUCUUGGACAAUGGGCGCAAGCCUGAUCCAGCCAUGCCGCGUGGGUGACGAAGGUCUUCGGAUUGUAAAGCUCUUUUGGCGGGGACGAUAAUGACGGUACCCGCAGAAUAAGCCCCGGCUAACUUCGUG